CCUGCCCAAUAGAAGCAUUGCAAUUGUGGCUGCUGUGUCACAGGUGCGUCAGUAGGUGGCAGAGAAGACGCUUUAUCUGUCCUCAGUGUUCGCACAUAUGGACAUGUGAAUGAUUAGUAGCCUAACAUU